CAUUUCUUCCUUUCUUAAUACCAAGAUACCGCUUUCACAAUCUCAUUUCCUUCUCUGCACAACUCCACCGAAACCACUGCAAUCCCUCUCCACAACCGCACCUCACCUCUUCCUUUACCUUAGUCCGAGAGCAAGAGAGAUUGAGAGCUGCAGUCUCGGUUCCAUCGACAAGAGUGAGCAAGAUGGAGCCGAGCUUCUUGUUUCUUUUCUUUCUGUCCGUAACUUAUAGAGGGAAGAGAGUGACUUGCGAUCCAUUCUGCCUUCCAUCCGUGAGCUGGUGAAGAGCUUGAGACCACAUUUCCUUCAUCCAGCCGCAAGCCAGAGCAAGGGAGAGAGGGAGAGAUAGCGGUCUGCAAUUUCUGGGCUGCCGAAGGGAGGAGGAUUAUUUCUGCUGCUAACCGUGUGUGUGAGCUCCAUUUGAGGUCCUGGAAACUGAAAGCUGGAUGCUUACUUAUGUUUUCCUUAUGGAUUGUAUUUGACUACUAUAACUUAUUCUGUGGGCUGUAAUGUGUUUUUUUUGGAUAAUGUACUUUUCUUUUUGGAUUGCCACUUGAAGCUGGAAAAUGUGUAAACCCUAAUUCGAUUACUUGGUUUGUAAGUUUGUAUUUGGGAUUUAUGUAUGUAUCUAUCCGGAUUGGUGCGACUUUAUACUUUGGUACGUAGCACGUAGGACGUUUAAGAGCACCGACUGGUUAUUUUAUCA